AAUGUCACCCAGAGCCCCGGUCCGCGGGGGAGCAGGCGGUGAGGUAGAGAUGCGUGUGAGGGAGACAGAGACCACCGCGAGCCCCGAGGGCUUGUCAAGUUGGAGAAAACAGCAAGCUUUUGGGCUCAGAAAGCUUAGACCAUCAUGGCUACGAAAACUGAACUGCUAGUCAGAAAAAAUGCAAUUCUGGAACUCCUUAGUGAAACAGCAAGGCAAAACAACAUUGCUGGCUCGGCAUCUGUGAAAACUGAAGCCCAUUCUUUAUUCAUGGAUUAAUUACAGCAGAGCAGUUGCCAAGUGAUCUUCUCCAUAGUACCCAUGAACUUCAGCCUUGAACUGAAGAGGACUCAUCAAAUGGGUCAUGGUAUACUGAAUAGAUUCAUUAAGCUUGGUAUUACUUCUUUUCUUGAAAUAUGUAUCACUGAACUUUUCUUAAAGCUUGGGAGAUACAACAUGGAGUUGGAAGAGAAGCGGGGAUCUCCAUGAAGGGCAGUCAACUGGAGUCUUGGUGUGUGGAGGAGCAGGUCCGGUUCUCACUGUUGCUACUCCCACAUAGGUGGACUCUGUAACUGAUUAUGUGUGGGUAGGGCCCUAUUGAAAUUAAGGAGAUUCUGCAAUAGUGCAGGGUUCUGUUUGUGAAAAUUCAAUUGCAAGAUCAGGACCCUACUGUGACUCCUUACUGUGCAUACUGUCAGUGUAUCAUUGAUUGUGCUGGAACCUGCCUUAUGGGAUAAUUACCAAAUAAUAUAUUCCUCAAAACAUCUUAAUGGCAUUGAGGCUUUGUGGAUAGUUGGUCACAUGAUGAGAAAAUUAAGCUGUAAGUACACUGAAAUGAUUGAAUUUUUCAGUAGUUAGUCUUUUCUCAUAUGCACAUACUGCUAAGGGUAAAAAAAGGUGAAUUGAGAGGUUUGAUUUGUGUGUGACUUCAGUUCUUUUUAGAAAAUAUAUGUAAUAACUCUCAUAGAUAUUUCAUUGUUAUUGAAUGAUUUAUCGUGUGAACCUGAAGUCCAGCACUACUGCUGUUAGGUGGGGAAUUUUAAGUUGUUUGUCGUCUUUUUUUCAAAAACACCAUGCCUCUGACUUGCUCUUCAUUUCCACCCAUAACCUUUUCAAAACUUAUAGAUCUGCAAAACUUGUUUAUACUACCAGUAUUUGUGUAGGUAUUGCAAACAGAUUUACUAACAUAAUUGUCUUCUGCUGAGUGGAAUAUUGAAAUGUUAAUAAAUGUACGCUUAUACUUAUGUCAAUGUAACUUGGCUAAAUUAAACUAAACUGAUCUGGCAUUUUGAGUGAAUUUGAUCAUGCAUGCUGAUUAACUGUAAUCUUCUUCAUAAGAA